rnacentral:rRNA from 1 species
AUUGAACGCUGGCGGCAGGCCUAACACAUGCAAGUCGAGCGAGCGGCGGACGGGGGAGAAUUGUAUGGGGACUUCCCGAUAGAGGGGGAUAACAACUGGGAACGGUGGCUAAUACAGCAUACUGUCGGAUGACCCCUAUGGGAGUGGCUAGUGGGUAGGGUAAUGGCUUACCUAGGCGACGAUCCCUAGCUGGUCUGAGAGGAUGAUCAGCCACACUGGGACUGAGACACGGCCCAGACUCCUACGGAGGCAGCAGUGGGGAAUAUUGCACAAUGGGCGCAAGCCUGAUGCAGCCAUGCCGCGUGUAUGAAGAAGGCCCUAGGGUUGUAAAGUACUUUCAGUCGGGAGGCGUUACCGACAGAAGAAGCACCGGCUAACUCCGUGCCAGCAGCCGCGGUAAUUC